UACGGAGGGUGCAAGCGUUAUCCGGAUUCACUGGGUUUAAAGGGUGCGUAGGCGGGAUGGCAAGUCGGUCGUGAAAUCCCUCGGCUCAACCGAGGAACGUCGAUCGAUACUGCUGUUCUUGAGGAUUGCAGAGGAGACUGGAAUUCCCGGUGUAGCGGUGAAAUGUGUAGAGAUCGGGAGGAACACCGGUGGCGAAGGCGGGUCUCUGGGCAGUAACUGACGCUGAGGAGCGAAAGCGUGGGGAGCGAACAGG
rnacentral:rRNA from 1 species